GAACUCAAAACAUUUAAACUUUUCAAUCAAGAGGGCAUGACUAAAUGAUCCUUGCACUUUCUCAUACAAGUCAGUGAAAGGUACGAGUUGGGGGGUACCUGAGUUGGAGAAAGGAGUGAGUUGUGAUUCUGGAAAGGGCCAAGCCAGAGGAUCCUCCCUGGUCCCUAAAUUGGGUUUGUGAGUAAGCAAAGACGCAGUAGGAUUGUUCUAUUUUUACUGAUUUUUUUUUCCCCCCUGGGCCACAGGCUACUCUUAGAAAGUCUUAUUCCCUUCCCUCCCACCAACACAAUGGAUCUUCACGAUCCUACUAUCGUCUAUUUCCUUCCAGUCCACCACCCCCAAAAGCUCGAGCCCAGUGUUACCUAAUAUAAUAAAAUAGAAUCUGCAGUCGGUAAAAUUUUUUAUAGUGUCGGGCAGAUGCAUGGAACACAUCAUUUUUUGUCACUCGAAGGAUCUAACAGGGGGACAAUUUAGGGUACACGAAACAUUUGGGACUGCUCGAGAGGGCAGCUGUUGGCACCCUCUUAACUUCUUAGUUAUUUUUAUGUCUACAGACUACACUCUGAAGGAGUUCCCACUAUUGACCCAAAUUUUUAUAAAUAAAUAAAAAAAACAAAAAUUUAGAUGUUAAAUAAAAGUAUUUUCAGAAAUUGAAAAGUACAGCUAAAACAAAAUUGCAAAAAAUUAUUAGUUACAAAUUAGUCAUAAGAUAUAAAUAACUUUUAUUCUUUUCAUGUGUCUCUAACACACACUGCCUCUUGUGUACUACAAGAACAAGGCGCGCCUAGAGCAAAAGACAUAAAUGCCCAGCCAACAAACCCAACGAAGACAAGAAUAAGGGAGGCGCGCUAGGUUGGACUGUUAGAAAAUGACAAGUCAUAGAGUCUACAGAUCCCAUGGGAUAGAACCCUCCUCUAUCCGGACAAAGGGGAAGCACAUACGGAGUUUUUUUCCAUUUUAUUAUUAAAAAAUAUAUAUAUUAAAUAAUACUCUUAUUAAGAAAAAAUUUCCUAAACUAAUACUCUCAUAAUCUCGCAACUUGAUGUUGCGAGAUUUAAACUAAUGGGUGAGUGGGAAGAUGACAUGUGGCACGGAGCUGAGCAAAUCUUGCAGCUUGGUGCUGUGGGAUUUAAAACGACCAGGGAGCGGGAAGGUGACGAGUGGCAGGGGGCUCAGCAAAUCUCGUAACACCAAACUGCGAAAUUUAAAGUUACAGCAUUUGAAAAGGCGACACGUGACAGAAAUCUCGCAACACCAAGCUGCGAGAUUUGUCUCUAAAAUGGUGCGGCGUGUGAUACGUGGAGAAUUUCGCAGGUCUAUCCUACGAGAUUUGCUUCGUCUGUGACCUUUUGUAGAGGAAGAAAUAAAGGCGAUUGCAGAGAGGCAGGUGACCGCUCGAAGGCGAGGAAAGCUAUUUAAGGGAGAAGAUGGGAUGACCAGCAGGGAGAGGGCAGACCCAAAAGGCAACCACCACGACCCCGGAGACGACCUCGCUGCGGCACGGAGUAGUUUAGCAUUAUUUUCAUUGCAUUUUAUUUGUAUGUAUAUCAUUGAUUAUUUUAAUUUCAUUUGUAUAGUAGUGAUUA